rnacentral:rRNA from 1 species
UGGGGAAUAUUGGACAAUGGGCGCAAGCCUGAUCCAGCCAUGCCGCGUGUGUGAAGAAGGCCGUUUGGUUGUAAAGCACUUUAAGCGAGGAGGAGGCUACUUGGAUUAAUACUCUAGGAUAGUGGACGUUACUCGCAGAAUAAGCACCGGCUAACUCUGUGCCAGCAGCCGCGGUAAUACAGAGGGUGCGAGCGUUAAUCGGAUUUACUGGGCGUAAAGCGUGCGUAGGCGGCUUUUUAAGUCGGAUGUGAAAUCCCUGAGCUUAACUUAGGAAUUGCAUUCGAUACUGGGAAGCUAGAGUAUGGGAGAGGAUGGUAGAAUUCCAGGUGUAGCGGUGAAAUGCGUAGAGAUCUGGAGGAAUACCGAUGGCGAAGGCAGCCAUCUGGCCUAAUACUGACGCUGAGGUACGAAAGCAUGGGGAGCAAACAGG